rnacentral:rRNA from 1 species
GGGGAAUCUUGGACAAUGGGCGCAAGCCUGAUCCAGCCAUGCCGCGUGAGUGAAGAAGGUCUUCGGAUUGUAAAGCUCUUUUGCCAGGGACGAUAAUGACGGUACCUGGAGAAUAAGCCCCGGCAAACUUCGUGCCAGCAGCCGCGGUAAUACGAAGGGGGCUAGCGUUGUUCGGAAUUACUGGGCAUAAAGCGCACGUAGGCGGGUCGUUAAGUCAGGGGUGAAAUCCCGGAGCUCAACUCCGGAACUGCCUUUGAUACUGGCGAUCUCAAGAUCAAAAAAGAUAAGUGAAAUUCCCAGUGUAGAAGUGAAAUUCAUAGAUAUUGGGAAGAACACCAGUGGCGAAGGCGGCUCACUGGUCCGAUACUGACGCUGAGGGGCGAAAGCGUGGGGAGCAAAC